GGCUCAAUGGUCUAGUAGUAUGAUUCGCCGUUCGGGCUGGAUUUAUUCCGAAUGAUCGGCGAGGUCCCGGGUUCAAUUCCCGGUUGAGCCC